rnacentral:rRNA from 1 species
CCUACGUGGUGCAGCAGUGAGGAAUAUUGGUCAAUGGACGGAAGUCUGAACCAGCCAUGCCGCGUGCAGGAAGACGGCUCUAUGAGUUGUAAACUGCUUUUGUACAAGGGUAAACCUGAAUACGUGUAUUCAGCUGAAAGUACUGUACGAAUAAGGAUCGGCUAACUCCGUGCCAGUAGCCGCGGUAAUACGGAGGAUCCAAGCGUUAUCCGGAUUUAUUGGGUUUAAAGGGUGCGUAGGCGGAUUGAUAAGUUAGAGGUGAAAUGUCCGAGCUUAACUCGGGAACUGCCUCUAAUACUGUUGAUCUAGAGAGUAGAUGCGGUAGGCGGAAUGUAUGGUGUAGCGGUGAAAUGCUUAGAGAUCAUACAGAACACCGAUUGCGAAGGCAGCUUACCAAUCUAUAUCUGACGUUGAGGCACGAAAGCGUGGGGAGCAAACAGGAUUAGAUACCCGUGUAGUC